GUGAACGCUGGCGGUAGGCCUAACACAUGCAAGUCGAACGGCAGCACAGUAAGAGCUUGCUCUUACGGGUGGCGAGUGGCGGACGGGUGAGGAAUACAUCGGAAUCUACUUUUUCGUAGGGGAUAACGUAGGGAAACUUACGCUAAUACCGCAUACGACCUACGGGUGAAAGCAGGGGAUCUUCGGACCUUGCGCGAUUGAAUGAGCCGAUGUCGGAUUAGCUAGUUGGCGGGGUAAAGGCCCACCAAGGCGACGAUCCGUAGCUGGUCUGAGAGGAUGAUCAGCCACACUGGAACUGAGACACGGUCCAGACUCCUACGGGAGGCAGCAGUGGGGAAUAUUGGACAAUGGGCGCAAGCCUGAUCCAGCCAUACCGCGUGGGUGAAGAAGGCCUUCGGGUUGUAAAGCCCUUUUGUUGGGAAAGAAAAGCAGCAGGUUAAUACCCCGCUGUUCUGACGGUACCCAAAGAAUAAGCACCGGCUAACUUCGUG
rnacentral:rRNA from 1 species